AUUGAACGCUGGCGGCAUGCUUUACACAUGCAAGUCGAACGGUAACAGGGAGCUUGCUCCGCUGACGAGUGGCGAACGGGUGAGUAAUGCGUCGGAACGUGCCGAGUAGUGGGGGAUAACGCAGCGAAAGGUGUGCUAAUACCGCAUACGUACUGAGGUAGAAAGUGGGGGACCUUCGGGCCUCACGCUAUUCGAGCGGCCGACGUCUGAUUAGCUAGUAGGUGAGGGAAAGGCUCACCUAGGCGACGAUCAGUAGCGGGUCUGAGAGGAUGAUCCGCCAAACUGGGACUGAGACACGGCCCAGACUCCUACGGGAGGCAGCAGUGGGGUAUUUUGGACAAUGGGCGAAAGCCUGAUCCAGCCAUGCCGCGUGUCUGAAGAAGGCCUUCGGGUUGUAAAGGACUUUUGUCGGGGAGGAAAUCCCCAGCGUUAAUACCGCUGGGGGAUGACAGUACCUGAAGAAUAAGCACCGGCUAACUACGUGCCAGCCGCCGCCGUAAUAC
rnacentral:rRNA from 1 species